rnacentral:rRNA from 1 species
AACGAACGCCGGCGGCAGGCUUAACACAUGCAAGUCGAACGCAUCCUUCGGGGUGAGUGGCAGACGGGUGAGUAACGCGUGGGAACGUGCCCUUCAGUUCGGGAUAACCCAGGGAAACUUGGGCUAAUACCGGAUACGUGCGAGAGCAGAAAGAUUUAUCGCUGAAGGAUCGGCCCGCGUCCGAUUAGCUAGUUGGGGGGGUAAUGGCCCACCAAGGCGACGAUCAGUAGCUGGUCUGAGAGGAUGAUCAGCCACAUUGGGACUGGGACACGGCCCAAACUCCUACGGAAGGCAGCAGUGGGGAAUAUUGGACAAUGGGCGCAAGCCUGAUCCAGCCAUGCCGCGUGGGUGAUGAAGGCCUUAGGGUUGUAAAGCUCUUUCGUCCGGGACGAUAAUGACGGUACCGGAAGAAGAAGCCCCGGCUAACUUCGCGCCAGCCGCCGCGGUAA